ensembl:processed_transcript 2310014F06Rik RIKEN cDNA 2310014F06 gene
GGGAGGAGGAGCCCGGAUCGGCGCGGACCCCGAAGAGGCCGGGCGCCAGGGGAGUCACCCGGCUGCAGGCUCUAGGCUGCGCGUCGGACGCUCUCCCCACCCGCGAUCGCGCCAAACUCGGCACUUCCCAGGCAAGGAGCGAGAUAACCUCCCAUUAACACCAGCGAAUAAAGCAGAAGAAGCCGGAGAGAUGGUUCGGCAGUUAAAAGCACUUGCUGCUCUCUCUGCAGAGGACCAGACUCCUGUCAGGUUCCCAGGACCCACACGGUCGCUUUCAACAGUCUGUAACUCCAGUUCUGGGAGCACCAGGCACAAACAUGAUGUACACAUGCAAAUCCAAUCUUCUAGAUUCCAUCCUGAGAUACAUUGUGAGUCUCCUCCCCAGAGACAAGCGAUGAAGCCAGGAUCUAGAUUUCUUCAAGAUUGGUCUGUACCAACAUUGGCUGCUUAUUGUAUUUCUUUUCUGCAAUUUGUUGGUGGGUAUAACUGAUAACAUUGUGUAUAAUUUAGGUAUACAAUGUAGUGAUUUGAUAUAAGUGUAUACUGUAAAGUGGUUACAACAAUGAAGUAAAUUACUAUGUUAUUUCAUAGCAUUAAUAAUAUUGUGUGUUAUAUGUUGAAAAUACAGGUAUAUAUUUUUAAAAGAUUUAUUACUUUAU